UCAGCCUGACAGGAGAAGUAGCCGUACACAUGGUGACAGAAGUUCCUGGGACAUCUCAGAUUACUAGAUAUCUCUGGUAGGCAGACUGUCUCCUCAGAUCACAGCCGUUAGGUGAACCUACUUCCUGCUCCACAAGCAUGCUCUCCUUUGUGCCAAGAUGUACACGACCCAAGCUUGGCUUUCUGCUCCUCCUUAAAUUUGUGAACAGCAGUUCCGGUGCAUAGGUGUUAUUCUUCAAUUUCCACCAAUUUUCUUAGCAAGACAAACAUUCUUUCUCUCCCUUUUUCAUUCUGACAUACAGAUACAAGACCGUAUUUAAUUAUGUCAUGGUCCAGAUGUGUAAUGCUUUUUUUUUUUUGAUAAUUUAGGUGGUCAUUUCUUGGCUGUUUUGCAACUUCACUUGUUGAAUUUGAAGGCCCAGCAAAAUUGACUUCUGCGGAUGUUAAUUCAGAGAACCAUCAAAUUAUCAGGCUCACUGCCAAAGAUCAAUUCAGAACUCUGAGAAGUGUGAUGAGGGUAGUCUACGGAAAUCCUCAACCACAUCCAAUUAUAGAAGGAUCAUAUGAAGAAAAUAUUUAUUUUAAUAUAGCUGACAGGUUCACAGAUAACAAGAAGCUGGUAGGUCAUCUAAUCUGACUGCUGCGAUAGCACAGACUACAAGAUUUCAUCACUGAACACAGCAAUCUGAAGAAAAAUGCCUUCCAGAAUGCAAUCCAGCCUUGAUUUAUAGGAAUCAAAAAAUCUGCUGCUCUCUGGAGGCAUUUUGGAAAAGAGUUUCAUUUUCUCUGUAAUUUGCCUGCAUGAUAUUUUAAUUUGGACACAUUUAUCAACUUUAUAUGUAACAUAUACCUUCUGGGAUAAUGUUUCUGUAUUUUUUUCCUAUAAAUAAGACAUUACAAUUGGAACAAAAUACUUCUAUAGCUUAUUAAUACUGAGUGGGAUAUGCUCUGCGUGGUAAACAGCAGAACUCUUUCUUUGCAUUCUAGUUUUCCAGGUAUACAACGCAUGCAAAAUGUAACAGUUUUCUUGUAAGGUACAACCAUAUGUCCACUGUUUGAGAUAUUUGAGUAGGCAUCUUUUCUGAUUUGUCUGUUUUUUGGAUUACAGCACACUAAUGACAUUAUUUUGCAAGCUGUCUAAUUUAUUUAUUUCUCUGGUAAAAAAUUACUGAUUCUUUGCAUAGGCUUGUGAAAAAUAAAUUUUCAUUGUUUACUGGAAGUUCA
rnacentral:lncRNA from 1 species